UGAGGAACAUGACCUUCGGCGGGGGAUAGCCGGCCCAACGGCCGGGUAAUACCGCGUACGACCACAUGGGGACAUCCCUGGGUGGUGAAAGCAGCAAUGCGCCGAUGGAGUGCCUCGCGGCCUAUCAGCUAGUUGGUGAGGUAACGGCUCACCAAGGCGACGACGGGUAGCUGGUCUGAGAGGAUGACCAGCCACAUUGGGACUGAGACACGGCCCAGACCUCCGUAACGGGGAGCCAG
rnacentral:rRNA from 1 species